CAAAGCAAACUGACUGGUGUAACCGUCGAUCUUAUCGGCUUAAAUAAACAAUUACAUCUGAUAAAAGAUUGCUGCCGAUUUAAAUCAAUUUGAGUAAAAGCAGUUAGCGAAUUAUCAACUUAGUCACACAAUGAACAUCACAAAGAGGCCUCACAAGCGUCUAGUCUGAAAACAUCCAUGACAAAUGCGCAGCAAUAUCCAAAAGUGAAGCGGCUGUAGUGUCGGCUAUGACUAAUGUGUACUUCGCUGCACAACUGUGUUUUUUUUUGUUAUGCACACAUGAUGAUUAUAGUAAUAAACAUAUUAAAGCUUC